rnacentral:lncRNA from 1 species
UUUGACACUAUAAUGGUCUCUUUCAUUGUUACCAAUGGGUGCAACUUGUGGAGGGAUUCCGGACAUAAUGUUUCAAAAAUAUGGAUCUUUAUCUGACACGCUGAAGUGUUUGAUACGCAAUAAAUACCUUAAACAAAACUCUGAUUCUAAUUUAAGGUAAUGGAAACAUAAAGAGACAAACAAAAAACUAAGAACAAAAGUAAUAAACACAAUUAUUUUUACCCUGGUUCG